CCUACGGGAGGCAGCAGUAGGGAAUAUUGCUCAAUGGGGGAAACCCUGAAGCAGCAACGCCGCGUGGAGGAUGAAGGUUUUCGGAUUGUAAACUCCUUUUGUUAGAGAAGAUAAUGACGGUAUCUAACGAAUAAGCACCGGCUAACUCCGUGCCAGCAGCCGCGGUAAUACGGGGGGUGCAAGCGUUACUCGGAAUCACUGGGCGUAAAGGGCGCGUCGGCGGGAUAGCAAGUCAGAUGUGAAAUCCUAUGGCUUAACCAUAGAACUGCAUUUGAAACUGUUAUUCUAGAGUAUGGGAGAGGUAGGUGGAAUGCUUGGUGUAGGGGUAAAAUCCGUAGAGAUCAAGAGGAAUACUCAUUGCGAAGGCGACCUGCUAGAACAUAACUGACGCUGAUGCGCGAAAGCGUGGGGAGCAAACAGGAUUAGAUACCCGAGUAGUC
rnacentral:rRNA from 1 species